GGACUACCGGGGUAUCUAAUCCUGUUUGCUCCCCACGCUUUCGCGUCUCAGCGUCAGUAAUCUUCCAGGUGGCCGCCUUCGCCACAGGUGUUCCUCCCGAUAUCUACGAAUUUCACCUCUACACCGGGAAUUCCGCCACCCCCUCCGAUACUCAAGUCUGAUAGUUUUGGAUGCAGUUCCUCGGUUAAGCCGAGGGAUUUCACACCCAACUUAUCAAACCGCCUACACGCGCUUUACGCCCAGUAAUUCCGAACAACGCUUGCACCCUCUGUAUUACCGCGGCUGCUGGCAC
rnacentral:rRNA from 1 species